CCCCCGGCUCCAGGAGGCCCUGUGCAGUGAGCGGUGCGGCGCCGGGGCUGAGGCGCAGGCAAGGGUAUCUGUACCGCAGCUUCUUGAUGAGCUCCUCAGGGGCGAUGAAGGUCCUGUAGGUGGUCAAGAAGGCCUCGCAGUACAACACGAGAUCUGGAGGGAAGGGCAGCUGGUCAGUGAGGCCUGCCACCGGCACAGGGCACAGACAGGCAGCACACCCGCUGCAAGCACAUGCCACUUCUGAUCACACAGAGAGCACAUUCAAACUCAUCAUCGGGACUCUGAAGCUAAGGCACAGGGAACACUUCAGGUGGCAGAAGCCCAGGAACAAAAACCUUGGGAAUCUCCACAUAGCGAGAGACCUAAGCAAAGGCCGAAGGGGCUCAGCCUCACGCUGCUGGACACUCAGGUGUGCAGGCUCUGGUGUCAGGGGAGGGCAAGGCCCACUGGGAGGAGGCCAGCCUGGAAGUCAAGUGGGAUUAGGGCUGGCAGCUCCCACCCAACGCCUCUCCUUCCCUUUGCAGCGGCUGGUUCUAGCCAGGGAUUCCCAACCUUUCCACGUUCACAACAGAGCCCUGUUUAUUUAUGGCUAUGACACACCCUCCCAACCACGCAGCCUCCGACACUAAGGAAAAAAGGGGGGGCAUGUUUUAAAUGCAAGUCCCUCCUGGAGACAAAUGACCUGGCCAGGCUUGUGAACUUCAGAGUUAUUCUGUGCUGGAGCUGAGGUUCGAGUCCUGAUUCGGCUCCAAAGUCUGUGGCCCUCACCGUGAAGCUGGGCACAUGCACACACAUUACUUAAGUGUUCUUUUCUGGACACAGACCACCUUCCCCUGUCUUCUCUCAUUCCUCCCACGACUCAUCGGGUGGAGGAACCUCAAGGACCCCACUUCUCCGGCUGGGCAGCCCCGCCCUGCAGAGCCCGGCUCCUGUCCCCCGCCCCUGCUGCUCACACCCUGGACAACGAGAGGAGAAGAAACACCUGCACGUGCACCUGGGGUGUGCUUGGGUGAUCUGGCUGGCGGUGCGGUGCCGUGAGGGAAGCUUACGGACUGGAGGUGCAGGCUCCUUCCUGGACCCCAAGCCCACCUAGCUCACUGUCAAAUCUGGGCUUCUGUUCAAAGAGGGGCAAGGAAGCAGAGAUGGGUCCAGGGGAGGGCAAGGCCCACUGGAAGAAGGGGUCCAAGGCUGCACCCCCUGAGCCAUGGGGUCUCCCAGCCACUGGUGUGGUCUCUGGUCUGCAGGAAGCCGCCUGCCCAAGGAGCUUGCUGUGUGGCCCAGGGCCUCUGCCUCAACCGCCCAUCCCAGGGACAAAUGACUGCAGCCUCAACAUCUUUCCACUGAUAAAACCGAGCGGAAGCCCCAGCGGGCAGCAGAGCCUCCUCUCCCAGGCAUUGGUCGGCACCGACUGGAAGGUCCUCGGGUUGCCCUGCCUGCAGGGCUCCCUCUGGCCGGGGCCGCAGCCGGCUGCACCUAGCAGGCUGAGGAUGGAGCUCUGACCUGUCCGGCACGGAGGAGGGUUUACUGAAGAAGGCAGAGCACGGGCUGUUCCUAGGGAUGUAAACAGAUACUCCCCGAGCACUUCCUAUGUGCCAACUCGCUCAGUCUUCACACCCACUGGGCACUUUGAACCUCUUCACAAAGUUGAGUCAGCUGAGGCCGAGAAGGGACGUGCCCAGCAGCGGCCCAGCCUGAGAACGCACGGCCAGGAUUCAAACUCAGUGUCCAGGACCGCACUCUGCCUGGGUCAGAAGAAACCCGGAGAGCAAAAGCGUGGCUGUGAACACAACUUGCAAGGACAGCUCCUUUGCUAGGAGAGUCCACCCAACAGAAAACAGGCCCUGCUUUUCCAGCCCUCUCGAAGGAUCAGGACGUGAAGGGGUGCCUCUGCGCUGAGAGUGGGGAACCCCGUCCUGUGCAGGUAACGCUGCUGGAAGACUGGAUGCUCCUGACAGGACCUUUGCCCCAGGAAGCUCCCAGAGGAGGAAUAAAGGAAACCCAAUCCAGCGGUCUGGAAUAAUAUAAUGGGCAAAAUAUCAGGAAAAGCGUAAAAAGCUACCCGCACAUCAACGUAAUCUUAGCACUAUCGUUGAACAUGUCGCUACUCAAGGUACCGUCUGUGGAGCACCUACCAGGUGCCGGGCUCUGCACCUGAAACUUGCCCCUUGAUGAUCCUGGGGUCCUCACUACCCUGCACCACCAGAGGACAUGCUCUGAGGGGGUUGGGGAGCGGAGGGUCUGGCUCUGAAUGCAGGUCACCUGUCCCCCACGUCGGCACUCCCUACGGUGACCCAGCAGCACCAGGACUGCUGUUCUGACCCGCUCAGGGCUGGAGGAGAGGAGAGGGCAGGGCAGUGGAGCCGAGCAACGUCUCGGUUCAGCGGGACCAGCCCCCUCCGGGGAGCUCGGGCACAGAGGCCGCCGCGGCCGGCGCUGCCGUACCUUUCCUGUCCGUCUCAGUAGCGUGGACCAGUAGGAUGUCACCAGAUCCUCCCCGGACGUCUGGUCCGUCGUCGCCCUGCAAAACCACAGCAAAGGAGGGCGUGGAGCAGAACGCAGCCGUAAGAAAGUCCGCUUAGGGAGUCACAAGCAGGGACGAGAUGACAAAGACACGGUGUUGCAGAGACGCCAGGUCCUCUCUGCCCUGCCCUGCCCUCCCUCACUCCGGGAGCAGCGUGGCCGGGCUGCAGAGGCCAGGUGCGCCCAUCCAGCCCGCCCACCGCGUGGCACAGCGCUCUGAGGUCACCACUGGCUCAGGGGGGCAUGGCUCCAGUCAGUCUUUCCCUGUUCACCAACCCGCGGCUCAGGGCAGAAGAGGGGACGGAGGGAGCCGACGGGGAGGCAGGCAGGACUGGCACCAGCCCUUCCCAGGAUGAUGGUGGAGGCGGCAGACCACUUCCAGGUAUGCGCAUGUUCGCAAAACUGCAGCAAGCUGCCCUAAAUCUAAACCUGCUUCCUCAGGUGGAGGGAAUCACUUGUCACAUCACAUGUUCUUCCAGGGAGCCCUCCUUAGAGGAGUGAAAAGUGUCACAAAGAUGCUCAAUUAUAUCCGAUGUUGCUUACACUGACCGUGGCCUGCCAGUUAAGGGAAAAGUCUUAUUUUCACAUGAGCAAACUGAGGCCUUAACCCAUAAGCCUGGCCUGCAGCCACCGGCCCCAUACGCUGUAAUUCCGAAGGAGACCACGCCCCGCGAGAGCUUCCUCGUGUCUCUAGCUCUUGGAGAUGGAUCUGCCUCUCCAAAGCUUCAAGGUUUUUACGCUGGAAGUGUCUUGGAUUUCCAGCUAAGACAGGGCAGCUCCGCCCAGGACCUGAUUUCUCAGAAGAAAUUUCUGGCAAGAGUCACGAAACAUCAUUCUCUCUGCAGAGGAGCCAGCCCUGCCUUCCCGGUUCCUCUCUGCUGCAGCCUAGCCACGUGUGUGUGUAGAGCACGGCCGCCUCCUCGGCUGGGGUCAAGGCUACCGCUGGGAGCCAUUCCUCCGUGUCCCCAGAACCGCUCGGCAGCAGGGGGCGGGAGGCCCUCUCAGGUCAGCUCCUCUUACUGUGCCGGGUUCGGGCACCACGUUUACCCAUGAGGCUCUCCUGACAAGACAUGGGAUGGAGGCAGCCUCGGUGGCCAGGCCUGGAAUUUCUUAAUUAGCUGUGCUUCCCACGCUGACACUACACUGGGGUCAUUCUGUCAUUAACAACAUAAAAAUACCUUGCACUAGCGAGGGCUUACCACACACGGGCUCCGUGCUGAGCACCCUCGUGGAUUUCGUUCUCACAACACCCUCCAGAGUCCUGUCAUCUGGGGCUUAGAGAGGACAUGUCACUUGCCCAAGAUCACUCUCCAGAGGUGUCAGAGAAGGGGACGGCACACUUCCUCCUGGAAGUCACCCAUGUGCCCAGGGUCUUAGAGCACCCACGGUGGCCCAGGCAUGGGGCCAGGACGAACGGGAUGCCAGAGCCCGCCGCCCAGGAGGGCCACCUGGGGGGGUCAGCACUCGGCUUGGGCCUUUCUGUUUGGGACACCUCCAGGUUCCCUGCUCAAAGCCCCCCACCCUCUUUCUGGGCCAGACCCUGCACACGAAGGCCUGUGAGGAGCCCACCUCUUGCUUGAGCGUCAGCCUUGCCAUAAUUUCAUUGUGGUCAAUGAGGGACAGCUCGUCUACUUCCUCCUCCGACUGAGCCUCUGGAGCAUCUGGUGACUUUGGGGCCCUGGAGAGAGAAAUGGUUUGUGUUGUGUCAACAGACCCUGAGCUCCACGGCUCCCGGGGGCCAAGGUAGCGUGGUCCCGUGCGCGGGGUCUUGUGGUACAGCCGCUCCCCUGAAUGAGUCCUCCCCGGACUGCGGCUCCAGCAAGAAGCCCAGACCCGCUUCCCACCCCUCCACAGGGGGCCCGGGAGGUAGUCAAGAGGCCGGGAUGCAGACAGGGUUUCUAGCUCUGCUCCUGAUAAGCUGUGUGACCUGGGGACAGUCCCUGCUCUCUCCGGACACUCCCUCAGUAAGUGGAAGGGAUUAAGCACGCAGAGCAAGAAGGUUCCACUGAGCAAUUUGAAAAAGUAAUGGUCUCAGUCACCUGUGUCAAGGCCCACAGACCGCCCGGACUGUCAGUACUCAAGGAGAGAAUGGCAAAGGGCCAGUGGGACGGGGGAACAAGCCAGCAUGAUCUCAGUGCCAUCCCCAGGUCUCUCCCCAGGGCCACCUCUCUAGUGGACUGAAGAGGAGCAUGAAGCAGGCCCUUGUCCGUGGGUGCCGGCGGGCAGGUGGGCAGCAGCAUGGGCAGGGGUCCAGCCUGAGCCAAGGGCAGGGAGGGCUUGAAGAUGGGACAGGCAAGCUGAGACUGAAGCGCUGAGUAGGAGUUUGGGUGAAGGGGGAGGAGAGAACCUCCAACAGACGAAGCACAUAGGGAGCCUGCAGCGGGGGACACGAGGCAGAUGGAUGUGGGGUCUACGGGCACUGCGCUUUCCCUGGCAUUUUCUCCCAUAUUCCCAUCAUUCUCGUGAUCGAUCCCGUGAGCCACUGACUGGCCUUGUGGUCGCAGGCUUCAUUUUUAACCCUAAGUAUCUGAGACAUUAAAACCUGGGCCUUUUGGUAAUUCCCUGGCAGUCCAGUGAUUAGACUCCAUGCUUUCACUGCUGAGGGCCUGGGUUCAAUCCCUGGUUGGUGAACUAAGAUCCCACAAGCCACACGGUACGGGCGAAAAAACCCAAGUCAAAACAAAACAAACAAACAAAGCCCCUGGGCCUUCAGUAAGGCAACACGGAUGGGCCAGAGCAAAACCACGCGCAGUCCUGGGACGAAGCCUCAGCUGCACGUCAGCGUCCAGUUGUGGCCUGGCCUUCACGGAAAGAGGACAACAUCCCAGCGACCGCUUCUAGCCAGUCAGCGUGCUCAUCCUUCUGCUUCUUGUGCAGGGGCCACCUGAACUCUGAAAAAUGGCACCCCUGGGUCCAAUGGAGCUGGAGCCCAUGAGCUGCUGUUGUCUGGCACAGACGCCUCUGCCACUACGUGUUAGACCAGAAAACCCAUCACCCCUUAACACUUGGGGAGACCUGAGCCUGGGCCACUGAACCAGACUCCGUGUGGACAGUACUGAGGGGCGGCCAGAGUAGGCUGGGCAGGCAGCCCUUGUCAACAGGCCCCUAGAGAAUGCUUUCUAUUUUUUUUCCUGUCUCUUGCUAUUUUUACCACAUCUUUAACCAUUUAUGUUUAGGCCUGACAAUAGCAAGUGGGUAUUGCUUAGCUCUGUCCCCAGGACUCCAGAAGUAGCCGAACCUUAGCCGAAAGAGGGAGGAAAAGCUUGAAUUUGUGGAGCAUUUCACAAAGAAGGGGAAGUCAACAUGAAGUUGCAGGUGGCAGGGCUGAUUCACAGGUCCUGCACAUUAUCCUUUCUACGUGUGGACUGGAGAAAUUUACUACAUAUUUCUAAAGCCAGGCCGGUUUGACUCAUGCUAAUGUUGAAAAUGUUACCAAAGAUGAAAGAAACAUAUGAAUAAAUGCAGAGAUGACUCCUGAUUGACCCUGGUUCCAAAAAAUAAGCCUUAUAAGACAUAGGGAGAACUAGGGAAAUGGAAGAUCAUUUGCAUAUCAGAUAAUGUAAAGAAUUUAUUACUCUUCUUAGGUGUGAUAAUCAUAUCGUAAUCAGGUAGGCGUCUAAAAUUUUUUAGGAGGCAUGCUGAAAUAUUUAGGGGCUGAGUGUCAUGUCUGUGACUUACUUUCAAAUACACACUACAUACAAUUUACACACUAUCUCUAGAAACUCACAAUAAAAAGUUUGGUGGGGGGGGAAUCUUUUACACUCCUUUAUUACAUUUGAACUUGGAAGAGGCAGAAGGAAGGCUGGCCUAGGAUGUGAGAAGGAAAACACUGUUGUGGGUAACGUGUGAGGUGAAGAGUAUGCGUGGAGAUGCUCAAGAAGCAGAGGCAGCCUGGUGCCAGCAGGAGGGCUUCUGAGGGCUGCAGUUAUCAGUGAUUUUUCUUAUUUUCUUAUACAUUUCUAUACUUUCCAUGUUCUCUACCCUGAGCAUGCAUAAUUUUGAGAAUCAGAAUAAAGGGAAGAGUGUACACACAUAUCUCGGAGAUACUGUGGACUCGGUUCCCAGCCACUGCAAUAAAGCAAAUAACACAAUAAAGUGAUUCACAUGAAUUUUUUUCUUUUCCCAGUGCAUAUAAAAGGCAUACUUAUACUAUACUGUAAUCUG